GCUCCGCCUCUCCAGCUUGCUAAUUAUCUGAAUAUUUCUUCGUCUCUCACAUGCAGGUUUGCAUGGAUGGAUUUAAAAUUAUAACACGUCCACAAGUGCGGAGGACCGGUCACCAACCCAACAUUAUCGGACAUCCCUGCACGUAUAAAUAGCGCCUCUCCAGACUCUCCUCCUUCCCAUCGGUCUAUUCUCUCUUCCUUCGUAAAUCUCACAGUGGUCUCAGAGGAAUCGAUCAAACCAAAGGAAGAAAUCAAAGAGGAUGGCAUCGUCCCGAGUCCACGUGUUGCUAGCGUCGUGGUUGCUGCUGUUGGUCAUAGCACCGGUGUUAGUUGAAGGAGACAAAUGUAGUGAAUGCUACACCAAGUGCAAGAACGACGGCUCUUGGCAAAUCCUCUGCUUCCGCUGCCAUGCCUGCAAGUUUGUUGAGGACUGGAAAAAACCCACGCCUGAUAUCCCUGGUUUGGAUGGGGGCUUAAGAGCCGUGCCCGCAGCAGAAGCACCGACACAUUUGAAAAAAGACAAGAAUUAAAAAGAUAUGGUAUAUAUGAUGGAAGGGCCAUGGGCUGUCGAUCGUCCAUCUCUCAAAUACUUCCACCCGUCAUCCUCCUGUUGUAAACGAACAGACCGCCACCUUGGCACUUGUUUGGUCGUUGUCAAUUUAUGCAAAUUUGUUGUUGUUUGUUUUCUUUUUUGGUGAAAUAUUGUAUUUUGUUUUCGCUGGAUUAAUAAAACGGGUGGAAUUUCUCUGUGCUUUUGUGAAAAUAAAAUUAAUGUUGAAUAAGAUUCUA